rnacentral:rRNA from 1 species
CACUACGGGACGCAGCGGUAGGGAAUCUUCCACAAUGGGCGAAAGCCUGAUGGAGCAACGCCGCGUGGGUGAAGAAGGUCUUCGGAUCGUAAAACCCUGUUGUUAGAGAAGAAAGUGCGUGAGAGUAACUGUUCACGAUUCGACGGUAUCUAACCAGAAAGCCACGGCUAACUACGUGCCAGCAGCCGCGGUAAUACGUAGGUGGCAAGCGUUAUCCGGAUUUAUUGGGCGUAAAGGGAACGAAGGUGGUCUGUUAAGUCUGAUGUGAAAGCAUUCGGCUUAACCGGAGUAGUGCAUUGGAAACA